GACGAACCGUGCGAACGUUAUUCGGAAUCACUGGGCUUAAAGCGCGUGUAGGCGGGACGGCACGUCUGUCGCUGAAAUCCCCCGGCUUAACCGGGGAACUGGCGUAGAUACGACCGUCCUUGAGGGGCGUAGGGGGACCUGGAACUUCCGGUGGAGCGGUGAAAUGCGUUGAGAUCGGAAGGAACGCCCGUGGCGAAAGCGACUUCCUGGACCAUUACUGACACUGAGGCGCGAAAGCGUGGGGAGCGAACAGG
rnacentral:rRNA from 1 species